rnacentral:rRNA from 1 species
AACCGGAUUAGAUACCCUGGUAGUCCACGCCCUAAACGAUGUCUACUAGUUGUCGGGUUUUAAUUAACUUGGUAACGCAGCUAACGCGUGAAGUAGACCGCCUGGGGAGUACGGUCGCAAGAUUAAAACUCAAAGGAAUUGACGGGGACCCGCACAAGCGGUGGAUGAUGUGGAUUAAUUCGAUGCAACGCGAAAAACCUUACCUACCCUUGACAUGUACGGAAGGCCGAAGAGAUUUGGUUGUGCUCGAAAGAGAACCGUAACACAGGUGCUGCAUGGCUGUCGUCAGCUCGUGUCGUGAGAUGUUGGGUUAAGUCCCGCAACGAGCGCAACCCUUGUCAUUAGUUGCUACGAAAGGGCACUCUAAUGAGACUGCCGGUGACAAACCGGAGGAAGGUGGGGAUGACGUCAAGUCCUCAUGGCCCUUAUGGGUAGGGCUUCACACGUCAUACAAUGGUACAUACAGAGCGCCGCCAACCCGCGAGGGGGAGCUAAUCGCAGAAAGUGUAUCGUAGUCCGGAUUGUAGUCUGCAACUCGACUACAUGAAGUUGGAAUCGCUAGUAAUCGCGGAUCAGCAUGUCGCGGUGAAUACGUUCCCGGGUCUUGUACACACCGCCCGUCACACCAUGGGAGCGGGUUUUACCAGAAGUAGGUAGCUUAACCGCAAGGAGGGCGCUUACCACGGUAGGAUUCGUGACUGGGGUGAAGUCGUAACAAGGUAACCGUA